GGCGGGCUUCGUCUCCUGCCAGGUCACCAAGUUGGAUCUGGGCAGAGCUGGAACUCUGGUGGGGUUCUACAGUUGGUGGGAUGGAACCGGGCCUCCCCUUGCCCAGGCUCCCGUGAAGGUCAGCUAGGCCAAUCUUGGCCAUGUUUGAGCUCAGCCUGUGGGCGGAGGCGGUCCUGUGUCUGGCCUGAGCGCUGCUGUUGUGGCAGUUGGUCUAGGCCUACCUUGGACCAGGCUCCUGUGCCUCUGAGCGAGGCCAAUCUGGACUGGGGCUGAACUUUGGUGGCUGUCUUUCCUUGGCAGAGCCUGAGCUCAGGUGCCAGUUUGAAGGUGACUGGAUGGAUAUGGACUACCCUGGGCUCAGGUUUCCUCCUGCCAGGUCGUCAGGUUGGAUCUGGGCAGAGCUGGAGCUCUAGUGGGGUUCUGCACGUGGCAGGAUGACACUGGGCCUCUCCUUGCCUGGGCUCCCAAGCAGGUUAGCGAGGCCAAUCUUGGCCGAGUUUGAGCCCUGCCUAUUGAAUGGAGGUGGUCUUGUGUCUGGCCUGAACUCUGCUUGGGGCCUGCUUGUGGCAGUUAUUAUCAGACCUACUUGGGACAGGCUCCCGUACCUGUCAGUGAGUCUGACCUGGGCUGGGGCUGAUGUUCUGCAAUUAUCUGUCAGUGGGUGGAGUCGGUAGUGGGCAGAGCCUGAAUUCGGAUGCCUGUCUCUUGAUUACUGGAAGGAUAUGGGCUACCCUGGACUCGGGUUUCUUCCUGCCAGGUCUUCGAGUUGGAUCUGGGCAGAGCUGGAGCUCUGGUGGGGUUCUGCAAGUGGCUGGAUAGAACAGGGCCUCCCCUUGCCUGGGCUCCUGUGCAGGGUAGUGAGGCCGAUCUGGGCCUUGUAUGAGCUCUGGCAGGUUCUGCUUGUGGCAGAGUUGUCCUGGGCCGAGACUGAGCUCAGGUGGUGGUCUGGUGGUGGCCAUAUGUUCCCAGGGCUACCCUCUUCCCAGGCUCCUGUGCACAUCUGCAAGGCUUAUCUGGUGGGAGCCUGAGAUACAAAGGGGGGGUGGAGGGUCUGCUGGUGGUGGGAAGCACCAGGGCCUAUUCUGGGCUUCCGCUACCACUCAGGUCGUCGAGGCUGAAAUGGGCUGGGAUUGGUCACCAGCGAGUGUCAGUUGGUGGGAAGUCUGUCCUGGUCCAAUCCUGAGCUCUGGAGGGAGCUGCUGGAGGGUGGAGGCAGUUCUGGGCAGAACCUGAGCUCUGGCAGGAGUCUCACGAUGAGUUGAUGGACUAGGGCUAUUCUGGGCCCCGUCUCCUGUGCAGGUCCUUUGGGUGGCUCUGGACUGGAUCUGAGCUCCUGCAGUAGUCUGCUAGUGGGCAGAAGCAGUCCUUGCCCAAGUCUCAGCUCCAGGGAGGGUCGGCCAGUGUUGAGAUGGUCCCGGACCUAUCCUUUCCUGAGCUCAGUGCAGGUUCUGGAGGCUGAUCUGGGCAGAGCCUGAGGUCCAGCGGGUGUCUGCUGGUGUGCGGAAGUAGUCCUGGGCCAGACCUGAGCUUGCUGCAGGUGUCCUGGUUUAGGGAUGGACACAGGCCUACCCUGUGUCUGGCCUCCCACCCAGGUCGGCAGGGGCAGAUCUGGACUGUACAUGAGCUCUGGCUGGUGUCUGCAGGUGAGUUGAAGCCAUCCUGGGCUGGGCCUGAGCAUCCCACUGGUGGCGGGAUGAAACCAGGCUACACUGGGCCACAGCUCUAGUGCAUCUGGGAAGGGCCUGAGCUCAGGCGGGUAUCUCUGGACCUUUAUUUUAUUCAUUUGUUUUAGGUGGUACUGAGAAUCAAAGCCAGUGCCUCACAUGUGGGAGACAAGAGUUCUAUCACUGAGUCACAACCCCAGCCCUAUUUGCUUCUUGUUGACCUUUAAUCAUACCAUCUUUUGGUUCUAUAUCGUUUGUUCAUGCAUGCAUUUGAAUUUUAACAAGUAGCUAUUAUGUGAUAUCACCUGCAAUGCUUCUCAAGCUGGCCCCAAAUGAGACCUUGAUCCUCAGCAGGAUUACAUCCCACACAUCCAUGUCACCUCUGGCAUAGGUGCAGAAGAGAGAUAUUUAAGACAUCGUCCUUGACUCUCAACUUUUGGGACAAAUUGUUUUGAAGAGGUAAAGGAUAAGUGGUCAUAAGAGAUCCUGCAGAACGCAGAGCAGGUAUGGUUUUGAAUGAAUACGGAUUUAUGUAUUGAUAAAGUUUGUUUAUUUCCUUUUUGCUGUCGUUCAUGUAUCUGUAAUUUGUUUUUCCUUUUUCUUUUUGGAAUGGGGAUCAAACCCAUGGCUUUGGGAAUGUGAGGCAAGUGCUUUACAGCUUUACCAUUGAGCCACUUCCCACCCCCUUCAUUCAUUGUCAGCGUGGGAAUUCGGGGCUGUUUUUAUGAAUGAAUCUACUAUGAAUGUUAAAAAGAGACUGACCAAUGGCGUUCGUGUGUGUCCAACCCAAUUAUCAUAACUUUGGGCCAAUAGCAUUGGUACUUCUUUCAAGUCCUAAUUAGCAUAAGUUUGGACCAAUAGCAUUGGACCAAGUGCUAUAUAAACCCCUUGGAGGCUGCUCUGACGAGGAGAAGCUGCCAAGGUCCUGAAGGUUCCUGAGCUGGAGUUCGCUGGAGUUUCUGGAGUUUCACCGGAGUUUCGUCUGAGUUCAGCUGGACUUCCGCCGAGUUCCACCGACAUUCCAGCCUGCUUUGGUUCCCGGAGAUGAUUCUUUGACGAAAGAGACUGCAGAAAGACGAAGAAAUGGUUGAGGAUCUGCUGAGGUAUGCUGCAACGCUAGUUGGAAUGGCCCGCCACGAUGAGCUAGGACUCCUCUGCUGCAGAGGGCUCCCCGCCCCGUGCUGGCAGUCUCCUACCUGCCAGUAGAAGCCAUGGAGGUUGAUCUUAAAACUCCGGUUUCAAAGAUGAAGCCUGUUGGUGGACUAUACAUCCUGCCUUGAAGCAGUGUUCAGAAGGAGAGAAUCUAUGGGUUGGAGGUGAUCUCGUCCUAGUUAGCGAGUCCUUUGAGCAAUACUUGAGCACAUCAUAUUGACACUGGCUUGGGAAGGGGAUUCCCAGAAUGAAGGCAUCACUUCUGCAUUCUUACAGGCUAUUAUGCACCAGGAAGGCCACCUAGAUGAUGGCUUAAACUUUUCUAGAUCUCAGCAUGAAGAAACAUGCACAGACCAAGUCAUCUGGAGCAAUGUCUCACUUUUCAGUAGAUUUAUAAGGAGCCUGGAUGCUCUCAGCAAGAAAGCGAAGACUCCUGAAACCAACCUGCCCAUAUAGUUGGUGAGCCUGAGUCUGCAGGAUAUCAACUGUUACUUCCACCCUCCUAAUGAGCACUUGGAGCAUGAGGACAAACUGAACAGGUUGCAUGCCCUGAAGAAUUGGCAGAACCUCUUCUGGGGAGAGAAAUCCCAGACUCAUCUCGGCUGUUGGGUGAUGACAUGCUUACAUUGUCAGUAAAAACAAAUCCCAGCUUCCACAUCUGCUCCUUCACAUCAAUGGAGUUCAGUCUGGAAAGACAAAAAGAAGAAUUUGCAGAUAAACAUUAAUUAAAGGCCCUAAAGGUUGGAAGAGCCUGAAGCAUCCACCUUCAGGAAGCCUAGCAGCUUCCCUGGGAGCUGGUUCUGCCCAUGUGGGUACAGGGGGAAGAGCAGAGACCUGUUCCUAGGACACCCUCCUGUCCUGAGACACUUCUUUAGAGGGGUCUUGGAAAGCAAAACAAAACACUACCACAUCACUCUACUUAAGAGUAGCUUUUCUUCUUCACUUUUCCUUUCCUACAUUUAAAUAUGAGCUAACCUUACUUUAUUCAUGACAGUUAUUCCUGAAAAUUGUACUCAGUUAGCCAAUGUGUAUACUUCAAAAGUUUCCUCACUAACCUCCAUUAUGAUUGCAUUCCAACAGUUGUUUUUUGUUGUUGUUGUUGUUAAAAUAAUAAAAACUUGCAUACAUGGA